rnacentral:rRNA from 1 species
UACAGAGGAGGCAAGCGUUGUUCGGAAUUACUGGGCGUAAAGGGCGCGUAGGCGGCCUGUUAAGUCGAACGUGAAAUCCCCGGGCUCAACCCGGGAACUGCGUCCGAUACUGGCAGGCUUGAAUCCGGGAGAGGGAUGCGGAAUUCCAGGUGUAGCGGUGAAAUGCGUAGAUAUCUGGAGGAACACCGGUGGCGAAGGCGGCAUCCUGGACCGGCAUUGACGCUGAGGCGCGAAAGCCAGGGGAGCAAACGGG